CCUACGGGUGGCAGCAGUGGGGAAUAUUGGGCAAUGGGCGCAAGCCUGACCCAGCAACGCAGCGUGAAGGAAGACGGCUCUCGGGUUGUUAACCUCUUUUGAUAGGGAAGAGUAGCAGACGGUACCUGUCGAUUAAGCCACGGCUAACUACGUGCCAGCAGCCGCGGCCAUACGUAGGUGGCAAGUGUUGUCCGGAUUUAGAGGGUGUAAAGGGCGUGUAGCGGGGUUGGCAAGUCAGGUGUGAAAGCCUGCGGCUUAACCGCAGAACUGCAAUUGAAACUGGUGGUCUUGAGUACAGGUGAGGCAGGCGGAAUUCGUGGUGUAGCGGUGAAAUGCGUAGAUAUCAGGAGGAACACCGGUGGCGAAGGCAGCUUACUAGACAGCGACUGACGGUGAUGCUCGAAAGUGUGGGGAGCAAACAGGAUUAGAUACCCGUGUAGUC
rnacentral:rRNA from 1 species